UUUCCAGGUCCCUCUGCGUUACCUCUUAGCUAUGCUGUUUGUCAACUUCAAGCCAUUGUGGGAUACUGUCAUUGAGCUACUUGGGAGCCACGCCAAGGGGAUGGACAACAAAGACUUCUGGGUGGUGUAUCAUGAACAUCUCGAGAUGGUGGCAGUAUUAGCUGAAGAACAACUUCAGGAGGGUGGUGAUGACAGCGAUGAUGAAAUAGAAGACACGGAGGUCCAGGCUGGGCCGGGUUGCGACGUC